GACCAGGCAAAUCCGGUCGGUUGUUAACACUGAGGCGUGACGACGAGCCACUACGGUGGUGAAGUGAUUGAUGCUCUGCUUCCGGGAAAAGCCUCUAAGCUCCAGGUUACCAUUAAUCGUACCCCAAACCGACACAGGUGGUCAGGUAGAGAAUACUCAGGCGCUUGAGAGAACUCGGGUGAAGGAACUAGGCAAAAUGGUGCCGUAACUUCGGGAGAAGGCACGCUGGCAUUAGGUGAAGUGGUUUACCCACGGAGCUGAAGCCAGCCGCAGAUACCAGCUGGCUGCAACUGUUUAUUAAAAACACAGCACUGUGCAAACACGAAAGUGGACGUAUACGGUGUGACGCCUGCCCGGUGC
rnacentral:rRNA from 1 species